rnacentral:rRNA from 1 species
AGGGUUUGAUUCUGGCUCAGGAUGAACGCUGGCGGCGUGCUUAACACAUGCAAGUCGAACGAAGAUGCCGGAGUGCUUGCACUUUGGCAGACUGAGUGGCGGACGGGUGAGUAACGCGUGAGGAACCUGCCUCAAAGAGGGGGACAACAGUUGGAAACGACUGCUAAUACCGCAUAAGCCCACAGGUCGGCAUCGACCAGAGGGAAAAGGAGCAAUCCGCUUUGAGAUGGCCUCGCGUCCGAUUAGCUAGUUGGUGAGGUAAUGGCCCACCAAGGCGACGAUCGGUAGCCGGACUGAGAGGUUGAACGGCCACAUUGGGACUGAGACACGGCCCAG